UGGGGAAUACUGGACAAUGGGCGAAAGCCUGAUCCAGCCAUGCCGCGUGUGUGAAGAAGGCCUUUUGGUUGUAAAGCACUUUAAGUGGGGAGGAAAAGCUUAUGGUUAAUACCCAUAAGCCCUGACGUUACCCACAGAAUAAGCACCGGCUAACUCUGUGCCAGCAGCCGCGGUAAUACAGAGGGUGCAAGCGUUAAUCGGAAUUACUGGGCGUAAAGCGCGCGUAGGUGGUUAUUUAAGUCAGAUGUGAAAGCCCCGGGCUUAACCUGGGAACUGCAUCUGAUACUGGAUAACUAGAGUAGGUGAGAGGGGAGUAGAAUUCCAGGUGUAGCGGUGAAAUGCGUAGAGAUCUGGAGGAAUACCGAUGGCGAAGGCAGCUCCCUGGCAUCAUACUGACACUGAGGUGCGAAAGCGUGGGUAGCAAACAGGAUUAGAUACCCUGGUAGUCCACGCCGUAAACGAUGUCUACCAGUCGUUGGGUCUUUUAAAGACUUAGUGACGCAGUUAACGCAAUAAGUAGACCGCCUGGGGAGUACGGCCGCAAGGUUA
rnacentral:rRNA from 1 species